ACGCUGGCGGCGUGCCUAAUACAUGCAAGUCGAGCGAAGUUUUUCUGGUGCUUGCACUAGAAAAACUUAGCGGCGAACGGGUGAGUAACACGUAAAGAACCUGCCUCAUAGACUGGGACAACUAUUGGAAACGAUAGCUAAUACCGGAUAACAGCAUUAACUGCAUGGUUGAUGUUUAAAAGUUGGUUUUGCUAACACUAUGAGAUGGCUUUGCGGUGCAUUAGCUAGUUGGUGGGGUAAAGGCCUACCAAGGCGACGAUGCAUAGCCGACCUGAGAGGGUGAUCGGCCACACUGGGACUGAGACACGGCCCAGACUCCUACGGGAGGCAGCAGUAGGGAAUCUUCCGCAAUGGGCGAAAGCCUGACGGAGCAACGCCGCGUGAGUGAAGAAGGAUUUCGGUUCGUAAAGCUCUGUUGUUAGGGAAGAAUGAUUGUGUAGUAACUAUACACAGUAGAGACGGUACCUAACCAGAAAGCCACGGCUAACUACGUGCCAGCAGCCGCGGUAAUACGUAGGUGGCAAGCGUUGUCCGGAAUUAUUGGGCGUAAAGCGCGCGCAGGUGGUUUAAUAAGUCUGAUGUGAAAGCCCACGGCUCAACCGUGGAGGGUCAUUGGAAACUGUUAAACUUGAGUGCAGGAGAGAAAAGUGGAAUUCCUAGUGUAGCGGUGAAAUGCGUAGAGAUUAGGAGGAACACCAGUGGCGAAGGCGGCUUUUUGGCCUGUAACUGACACUGAGGCGCGAAAGCGUGGGGAGCAAACAGGAUUAGAUACCCUGGUAGUCCACGCCGUAACGAUGAGUGCUAAGUGUUGGUCUCAUAAGAGAUCAGUGCUGCAGCUAACGCAUUAAGCACUCCGCCUGGGGAGUACGACCGCAAGGUUGAAACUCAAAGGAAUUGACGGGGACCCGC
rnacentral:rRNA from 1 species